rnacentral:rRNA from 1 species
UACGUAGGGUGCAAGCAUUGUCCGGAUUUAUUGGGCGUAAAGAGCUCGUAGGCGGUGUGUCACGUCGUUCGUGAAAACCUGCAGCUUAACUGUGGGCGUGCGGUCGAUACGGGCAUCACUGGAGUUCGGCAGGGGAGACUGGAAUUCCUGGUGUAGCGGUGAAAUGCGCAGAUAUCAGGAGGAACACCGGUGGCGAAGGCGGGUCUCUGGGCAGUAACUGACGCUGGAGGAGCGGAAAGCGUGGGUAGCGAACAGG